rnacentral:rRNA from 1 species
UACGGGGGGGGCAAGCGUUGUUCGGAAUUACUGGGCGUAAAGGGCGCGUAGGCUGUGCUGCAAGUCAGGCGUGAAAGCCCCGGGCUCAACCUGGGAAUUGCGCUUGAUACUGCGGCGCUGGAAGGUGGGAGAGGAUGGCGGAAUUCCCAGUGUAGAGGUGAAAUUCGUAGAUAUUGGGAAGAACACCGGUGGCGAAGGCGGGUCUCUGGGCCGAUACUGACGCUGAGGAGCGAAAGCGUGGGGAGCAAACAGG